AGCGCCCUGCCUUGUGCGAUAGAUUUACGGUCAAUAUGUAACCCAACACACUUUAAUUAGGGAGCCGCUCUCCGAUGAUGGAUUGCAGACCUCCCGCCCUCGGGCGGACGAAGGGAGCGUGAGAGCUUCGGGAGGCACCCACCUGCUUAACCGCAGGUUACUUUCGGCCGUAUACGGCUUGGCGGGGCGAUG
rnacentral:other from 1 species